rnacentral:rRNA from 1 species
AGUGAACGCUGGCGGUAGGCCUAACACAUGCAAGUCGAACGGCAGCACAGUAAGAGCUUGCUCUUACGGGUGGCGAGUGGCGGACGGGUGAGGAAUACAUCGGAAUCUACUUUUUCGUGGGGGAUAACGUAGGGAAACUUACGCUAAUACCGCAUACGACCUACGGGUGAAAGCAGGGGAUCUUCGGACCUUGCGCGAUUGAAUGAGCCGAUGUCGGAUUAGCUAGUUGGCGGGGUAAAGGCCCACCAAGGCGACGAUCCGUAGCUGGUCUGAGGGGAUGAUCAGCCACACUGGAACUGAGACACGGUCCAGACUCCUACGGGAGGCAGCAGUGGGGAAUAUUGGGCAAUGGGCGCAAGCCUGAUCCAGCCAUACCGCGUGGGUGAAGAAGGCCUUCGGGUUGUAAAGCCCUUUUGUUGGGAAAGAAAAGCAGCAGGUUAAUACCCCGCUGUUCUGACGGUACCCAAAGAAUAGGCACCGGCUAACUUCGUG